GACGAACGCUGGCGGCGUGCUUAACACAUGCAAGUCGAACGGAAAGGCCCUGCUUUUGUGGGGUGCUCGAGUGGCGAACGGGUGAGUAACACGUGAGUAACCUGCCCUUUACUUUGGGAUAACUUCAGGAAACUGGGGCUAAUACCGGAUAGGAGCUCCUGCUGCAUGGUGGGGGUUGGAAAGUUUCGGCGGUUGGGGAUGGACUCGCGGCUUAUCAUCUUGUUGGUGGGGUAGUGGCUUACCAAGGCUUUGACGGGUAGCCGGCCUGAGAGGGUGACCGGCCACAUUGGGACUGAGAUACGGCCCAGACUCCUACGGGAGGAAGCAGUGGGGAAUAUUGCACAAUGGGCGGAAGCCUGAUGCAGCAACGCCGCGUGCGGGAUGACGGACUUCGGGUUGUAAACCGCUUUCGCCUGUGACGAAGCGUGAGUGACGGUAAUGGGUAAAGAAGCACCGGCUAACUACGUG
rnacentral:rRNA from 1 species